CAUAGAUUAUUCUAGGAAGCUUUAUAAAUAGUUAAUAAAUCUCUGGAAGUGCUGAGUGGGCUUCCUGUUUUCAACAAUCAAACCUCAGGUCAUCCAACUCAGGUUAGUCUUAUACUGUAAAGGAAAAAACAUCCUUAACCACCAGCAUGGACUUACUAAAUUGAUGAUAAAGCAACUUCUUGGUAGUGUAAUAGACCCCUUUUCCACACUAGGAAUGAGAGCUACAUCUUCCACAAUCUACUUCACCUCCAGGCUAAGUUCUGUCUUGUUUCUCAUCAGGACAAACCUCACAUAAUUCCAACAAAGACAAUGAAGCAAUUCCAGAUUUACCAGGAUGCCAUGGAGAGCAGAUUCUGGUCCUCUGCUUUUAUAUUCGAGACUCAAUCCUCAACCUAUUGAUGUAAAGGAAAAACCCACACUGACCUCAUGUGGCUCUGGAUUACGCUCCCAUUCCUGGGCCAUUUGUUUUUAUAAGUGAGUUAACAGGAGCACUGAAAUAUCCUGUCAGAGGAGCUCUGAAAGUGCCAUCCACUGCCCUAAUGCCUCGUUGCAAAUACCCCAGUAUGUUCGGAUAUAUAAACAGAUAAAAGACAAGUGGAAGAGGCCAUGAUCAAUCCAAGCAGACAAGUGUUCUAACGAAGAAUUACAAACAGCAAGAAGUGCACAACAUUUCGGACAACUGAAAUGCAGAAUCUUGAAUGUGCCAAAUCCACAAAAUGAAGAAGGCAAACAGAUCAUGUAGAGUCAAAGGCUGGAGCAAACCUAGAGCUUCACAUGCAAACUCCUCAUGAGGCAUUCUGCAGCUCUGCUUGUUAUAUCCUCAGGGCACCAGAUACACUAAUAAGAGAGAGCAAGAGAAGAAC